rnacentral:rRNA from 1 species
UACAGAGGGGGCAAGCGUUAUUCGGAAUUAUUGGGCGUAAAGGGCGCGUAGGCGGCCUGGCAAGUGGAUGGUGAAAUCCCUCGGCUUAACCGAGGAACUGCCGUCCAAACUGCUUUGCUUGAGACCGGGAGAGGUGAGUGGAAUUCCCAGUGUAGCGGUGAAAUGCGUAGAUAUUGGGAGGAACACCAGUGGCGAAGGCGGCUCACUGGACCGGUACUGACGCUGAGACGCGAAAGCGUGGGGAGCAAACAGG